CCUUGUACACACCGCCCGUCACACCACGAAAAGCCCGCUGUACCAGAAAUCGCCGGAGCUAACCCGUAAGGGAGGCAGGCGCUCAAGGUAUGGUUGGUAAUUGGGGUG
rnacentral:rRNA from 1 species